rnacentral:rRNA from 1 species
UCUGCCCGGUGAAUAUUUUAAACGGCCGCGAUUUGCGCUAAGGUAGCAUAAUCAUUUGUCCUUUAAUUGGGGGCUAGAAUGAAAGAGUUUUUAAAUGAUGGCUUUAUUACUGUCAGCAUUGGAAUUUAAUUAGAAUGUGAAAAUGCAUUCGUACAAUAGAGGGACCAAAAGACCCCGGGAUCUUUAAUUUUGGAGAGAUUUCUCGUUAUAAAUUUUUAUUGGGGUAAUAGAAAGUAUGUACUUUUAAAUAAUCAGGCUUUGCCUUAGCGAUGAGURAAAAGUUACCCCGGGGAUAACAGGCCCAUCUUUUUUUAGAGUUCAUAUUCACAAAAAGGAUUGGCACCUCGAUGUUGGCUUAAGGAAAUCCCAGGUGCAGCAGCUUUGGGGAUAGGCUU